GCCACCGUAGCCCAACUGGCAGAGGCGGCUGAUUCAAAACCAGCCAGCUGAAGGUUCGAAUCCUUCCGGUGGUA
rnacentral:tRNA from 1 species